AAGACUAUACUUUCAAGAAUUAUUUCUAUAGUAUUUAACUAGGAAAUGUGAUUUGAAAGUGUUAUGUCUCUCUAAUCACAAUGAUGAGGACUGAUGUGCUCUUCUGAGCAUGAGUCAGGUUGAAGCUGGUGAUUCUUUCACAAGUUUUAAUUAUUGAUGAACAUUUGUCACUUCUUAGGAAGAGUGAGAAGAAGAGUACAUGAUCAGAGUGAU